UACGGAGGGUGCGAGCGUUAAUCGGAAUUACUGGGCGUAAAGCGUGCGUAGGCGGUUGAAUAAGUCGGAUGUGAAAGCCCCGGGCUUAACCUGGGAAUUGCAUUCGAUACUGUUCAGCUAGAGUGUGGAAGAGGGAAGUGGAAUUCCAGGUGUAGCGGUGAAAUGCGUAGAUAUCUGGAGGAACAUCAGUGGCGAAGGCGACUUCCUGGUCCAACACUGACGCUGAGGCACGAAAGCGUGGGGAGCAAACAGG
rnacentral:rRNA from 1 species